rnacentral:rRNA from 1 species
GUCGGCGACCAUACCACGUCGAAAGCACCGGUUCUCGUCCGAUCACCGAAGUUAAGCAACGUUGGCCCCAGUACUUGGAUGGGUGACCGGCUGGGAAUACCGGGUGUUGCCGGCU